UAAUUUGGUUACUCUAAGGGGCUCUUUGAAAUCGGAGCGAAAACAGAAGAUUUGAAAUAUGAGUUAGAAACGACCUGUGUUGAAAUCGGAGCGAAAACAGAAGAUUUGAAAUUUUCUGUGACAAACGGGGCAGAUAAACUAGCAGAAAAUGCGCAGUGUCAGAAAAUUAUGAAAGCUAGAGGAUAUGUCAGAAUUAUUUUUAUGAGGCUAGAUUUAAAGUUUCAUGCCAUUCUACCACCCGAAAAGUGAAAAAUAAAAUCCGACAGUUAUCUGAUAAAGAUUACAAUUCGGUACAGCUUUCGGUGACCAAACGGGGUCGAAACUGAAAGCUUAAGAUAUAUU
rnacentral:lncRNA from 1 species